rnacentral:rRNA from 1 species
UAGGGAAUCUUCCACAAUGGACGCAAGUCUGAUGGAGCAACGCCGCGUGAGUGAAGAAGGUUUUCGGACCGUAAAGCUCUGUUGUUGGUGAAGAAGGAUAGAGGUAGUAACUGGCCUUUAUUUGACGGUAAUCAACCAGAAAGUCACGGCUAACUACGUGCCAGCAGCCGCGGUAAUACGUAGGUGGCAAGCGUUGUCCGGAUUUAUUGGGCGUAAAGCGAGCGCAGGCGGAAGAAUAAGUCUGAUGUGAAAGCCCUCGGCUUAACCGAGGAAUUGCAUCGGAAACUGUUUUUCUUGAGUGCAGAAGAGGAGAGUAGAACUCCAUGUGUAGCGGUGGAAUGCGUAGAUAUAUGGAAGAAUACCAGUGGCGAAGGCGGCUCUCUGGUCUGCAACUGACGCUGAGGCUCGAAAGCAUGGGUAGCGAACAGGAUUAGAUACCCUGGUAGUCCA